rnacentral:misc_RNA from 1 species
UACGAAGGGGGCUAGCGUUGUUCGGAAUUACUGGGCGUAAAGCGCACGUAGGCGGAUUGUUAAGUCGGGGGUGAAAUCCCAGGGCUCAACCCUGGAACUGCCUCCGAUACUGGCUGUCUUUGAGUCCGGGAGAGGUGAGUGGAAUGCCGAGUGUAGAGGUGAAAUUCGUAGAUAUUCGGCGGAACACCAGUGGCGAAGGCGGCUCACUGGCCCGGUACUGACGCUGAGGUGCGAAAGCGUGGGGAGCAAACAGG